AUGCUCUCCUGACAGGGAGAUGGCAAGGCCCAGAAGACCUUUCUCAGGGUAAGGCCCAUCUCCUGCAGUCUGAUGUGCUAACCCUGGGACUUCUCACAUACAAGAAAUUCAGCUGCACAAAUUUCUGGUAGUGCGGGACUCUGUUCAUAGUCUCCUC
rnacentral:snRNA from 1 species